AUAGAUAGAGUACCGUUGAUACUUGAUCAGAGGAUUGAAGGAAUGUUAAUUGUAAUUAUGCAAGUUUUAUGAAUUAUUGUUGAAAUUAAAUAUUAUGGUUGAUAAGAUUGUAAUGAUUUAAUUUGGCCUUGCAUAUUCUUUAGGGCUUGCUCUAAGGAGUGUGCGGCCAUCACGUAUCCGACCCGAGUGUUGGGUUCGGGGCGUGACAACAAGACUACCACCACGCAGCCGGAGCGUCCUCCAAUAUGGAUGUCGGGA
rnacentral:lncRNA from 1 species